rnacentral:rRNA from 1 species
UACGGGGGGAGCAAGCGUUGUUCGGAUUUACUGGGCGUAAAGGGCGCGUAGGCGGUCGUGACAAGUCACUUGUGAAAUCUCCGGGCUUAACUCGGAACGGUCAAGUGAUACUGUCGGACUAGAGUACAGAAGGGGCAACUGGAAUUCUCGGUGUAGCGGUGAAAUGCGUAGAUAUCGAGAGGAACACCUGGCGGCGAAGGCGGGUUGCUGGGCUGA